rnacentral:rRNA from 1 species
UACAGAGGGUGCUAGCGUUGUUCGGAAUCAUUGGGCGUAAAGGGCGUGUAGGCGGUUUGUUAAGUCAUGUGUGAAAUCCCUCGGCUCAACCGGGGAACGACGCAUGAAACUGGCAAGCUAGAGUACCAAAGAGGGGGGUGGAAUUCCCGGUGUAGCGGUGAAAUGCGUAGAUAUCGUUUGGAACGCCAAUGGUGAAAACAGAUUGCUGGGAGUGUGCUGACGCUGAGACACGAAAGCCAGGGGAGCGAACGGG